AACGGUAAUACUUUGGCGCCAGAUUUUAUCUCUCCCACGUUUUCUCCAAUUUUAUUAACCACGAUUCGAUCUUCUCCCACAAUUCUCAACAUCUAAAACCCUUUUCAAUUCAAUUGAAGAUUCGGCUGCCAUUUUUCAGCCGUCAACUGCUGCCCUAGCGCCGCCCCCUCAGACCAACGUUGCUCAAAACGAUUCCAUAACCGUUCUUCUCUAUUACAUCGCUCACCAAACUCAAUCGAAGACUCGGCCACCAUUUCUCGGUCAUCAAUCGCCGCCCUAGCGCCGCCGCCUCAGACCAACGUUGCCCAAAACGACAAUGUGUGUGCAAAGCAAGACACAAGAUUAGUCAAUACAUUGAGGGCCACUGCAUCGGAAAUUAGAGAAGUGUUUCUAAAAGUGCUGCCUUCCACGUGCGGCGGAUUCGCAGAUUGGAACGAUGCCGCGUUGGUGUAUUUCUCUGCCCCAGCGGCAGCUGGUUCAAGGAUUAUAUUCUCUCUUUUAUUUCAGCAUAUUGUAUUUCUUUUAUUCACUCUUCACACAUAAUAGUUGGACUUAUGUUUUAUUGAUAUUUAAUACAUAAAGUUGAAAGAAUAGUGUUUUACGUAUGUAUUAUGCUCCUUGAAGUGUCCAUAUGUACCUUUAAUGAUUGAUUCAUUAGAUCAGAAGGUAGUGUAAUAUAGUCCUUCACCUAUAUUAAGACUCAUUUAGGUUGAAAUAUAGGCCCAACUCAAGAAUGAUUGCAUGCAUAAUUUUUGUGCUUACCUAAUGAAUAUUUGCAAAUAAAAUGGAAAAUAAUGUUUUCUUUGGAUUAAAUUGGUUGUUGCAUCUAAAAUAUUUAUUAAUUUCAUAUUACACAUGUAAUGUAGGUACUCUUAUCCAAUAGUUAGAGGUUUCACAACAAUCAGAACUGGAGCUUAAGAGAUUGGCUUGCAUAUGUAGCAAGCAAUGCAAAUUUUUUGACCAACAUCAUUACGAAGAAUCAACUUUAUUCUUAUAGAUGGGAAGGAACCGAUAGGGAACGAGUAUGCACCUGCUGAGUUUGAUGAUGGGGGGGUGGGGGCUAUGAUCGGAGCUGUGGUUACCCCAUGGGUAGUGGAUGAGAAGACGAUUAUUAAAUACCUAACCGGUGGAGUUCUCUUGCGCAAAAGUCAUUCCAACUUGGAGCUAAGCUAAUAUUUUGUCAUCAUAUUAGAUGAAGCUCAUGAGAGGCUGCACUGGUAUUGUUUAGCCUAUUGAUUCAUUUGCUCCUCAUUUUGAUUCAUGUUUUACAGUUUGUUUGUCUUUGAAGAUCAGUACCCAUCAUUUGAGUUGACGCCUGCACAUGUAAUAUUUUGCUUGGUUGGAGUAUCCAGUUCAUUUCAUUUUUCCAUUUGUGUUUGUGUUGCUUUUACUUCAUGUGUAGGUUUGUUGUUUGGUGUUAUAUUAAAAUUAAUAAAUCUUUCUGAUAUAGUAGUAACCUUUUGGUUGGGUGAUU